UAUUAAAAAAAUUAUUUAUUUGUACAGUUAAAAAUUAACGUAAUUGAUGGAAUAAUUAGAUAGUGACAUGUGACGUAUUAUAUAUACUUUAUGCUAACAACCAAAAACCGAUUUUUAACAGUAUUAAUGAAUGAAAUUUUUAACA
rnacentral:pre_miRNA from 1 species